rnacentral:rRNA from 1 species
UACGGGGGGAGCAAGCGUUGUCCGGAUUUAUUGGGCGUAAAGAGCUCGUAGGCGGCUUGUUGCGUCGACCGUGAAAACCCGGGGCUCAACUUCGGGCUUGCGGUCGAUACGGGCGGGCUAGAGUUCGGUAGGGGAGACUGGAAUUCCUGGUGUAGCGGUGAAAUGCGCAGAUAUCAGGAGGAACACCGGUGGCGAAGGCGGGUCUCUGGGCCGAUACUGACGCUGAGGAGCGAAAGCGUGGGGAGCGAACAGG